rnacentral:rRNA from 1 species
UAAGCACUCCGCCUGGGGAGUACGACCGCAAGGUUGAAACUCAAAGGAAUUGACGGGGGCCCGCACAAGCGGUGGAGCAUGUGGUUUAAUUCGAAGCAACGCGAAGAACCUUACCAGGUCUUGACAUCCUUUGACCACUCUGGAGACAGAGCUUUCCCUUCGGGGACAAAGUGACAGGUGGUGCAUGGUUGUCGUCAGCUCGUGUCGUGAGAUGUUGGGUUAAGUCCCGCAACGAGCGCAACCCUUGAUUUUAGUUGCCAGCAUUUAGUUGGGCACUCUAAAGUGACUGCCGGUGCAAGCCGGAGGAAGGUGGGGAUGACGUCAAAUCAUCAUGCCCCUUAUGACCUGGGCUACACACGUGCUACAAUGGAUAGUACAAAGGGUCGCGAAGCCGCGAGGUGGAGCUAAUCCCAUAAAACUAUUCUCAGUUCGGAUUGUAGGCUGCAACUCGCCUACAUGAAGCCGGAAUCGCUAGUAAUCGUGGAUCAGCAUGCCACGGUGAAUACGUUCCCGGGCCUUGUACACACCGCCCGUCACACCACGAGAGUUUGUAACACCCGAAGUCGGUAGGGUAACCUUUAUGGAGCCAGCCGCCGAAGGUGGGACAGAUAAUUGGGGUGAAGUCGUAACAAGGUAGCCGUAUCGGAAGGUGCGGCUGGAUCACCUCCUUUCUAAGGAA